rnacentral:misc_RNA from 1 species
GAAAAAGCUGAUGCUUCAUCCAACAACGGACAGUCUAAAGAUAUGAAUGUGCGAAACGUAGAUGCAGUUAGUCCCCUCAAGCAGUCAUCUCGUCAGAAAAGCUCCUCCAACAAUGAGGAUGGAAUGAAACUGGCUCAUGAAAAGGAACUUUUUGCAUCUAGAGACACAAUGAAACCCAAAGGAAAUCAAUGUCAUCAUGCCCAAAGUACUGAGGUAAUAAAGGAAGGUUCUGUUCCUGAUUCAUUUAUAGCAUCUAAGGGUAAGAAAACCUCUUCUAGCAACAUGCACCUAUCUAAAAGUGAACCAGAGGACAUGAAAAAGAACCUAGCCAGGGAUAAAUACAAAGAAUUCUUCGGUGACGUAGAACACGAACUAGAAGAUGCUGAAACUGGUUUGGAGCAAAUUCAUUCAAAGGAGAUGCUCAAGGGUUCUGAUGUAAUCAGUAAGAAGAGACUUGAACGUGAUAGCUCAAUGAAGGAAAAAGUUAAUGGUAGGAAAACUGAGAAGCCGUUUGCUUCCGAUGAGUAUCCUGGGUUGGCUUCAGAUGGGGCUCCUCAUACUGUC